CGCUCUUUGAAACACAAAAAUAAAGAGUCGUGCCUGCCCAGUGAUAAUUUUAAACGGCCGCAGUACCCUGACUGUGCUAAGGUAGCAUAAUCACUUGCUUUUUAAUUGAGAGCUAGAAUGAAUGGCUUGACGAAAACAUUACUGUCUCUUUUACAUUAACUAAAAAUUAAUCUUUAGAUGAAAAAGUCUAAAUAACUUCAAAAGACGAAAAGACCCUAUCGAGCUUAAAAACAAUUUUAAUUCUAACUUACUAGAUAAAACAAAAUUAAAAUAUAAUUUUUUGUUGGGGCGACAGAAGAACAUACAAAGCUUCUUUUAAUUUAAUAAACUAAUAAGUUUAAAAGAUCCAUUAAUAUUGACUAAAAGAAAAGUUACCGUAGGGAUAACAGCGUAAUUUCUUUAGAGAGCUCAAAUUGAAAAAGAAGUUUGCGACCUCGAUGUUGGAUUAAAAAAUCUUUUUGAUGCAGCAGUCAAAAGAGAAGGUCUGUUCGACCUUUAAAAUUUU
rnacentral:rRNA from 1 species